CAGGGAAUCUUGCACAAUGGACGAAAGUCUGAUGCAGCGACACCGCGUGAGGGAAGAAGGCCUUCGGGUUGUAAACCUCUUUUAUCAGGGAAGAGUAAGGACUGUACCUGACGAAUAAGGCUCGGCUAACUACGUGCCAGCAGCCGCGGUAAUACGUAGGAGUCAAACGUUGUCCGGAUUUACUGGGCGUAAAGAGCGCGUAGGCGGUUUGUUAAGUCUCAUGUGAAAUCUCCCGGCUCAACUGGGAGGGGUCAUGGGAUACUGGCAGGCUUGAGGGUAGCAGAGGAAAGCGGAAUUCCCGGAGUAGUGGUGAAAUGCGUAGAUACCGGGAGGAACACCAGAGGCGAAGGCGGCUUUCUGGGCUAUUCCUGACGCUGAGGCGCGAAAGCGUGGGGAGCGAACCGG
rnacentral:rRNA from 1 species